ACUGAGCCACCCAGGCGCCCCUGAAACAGUUUUAAAGCUGCAAUCUAAUAAGACCAUGACAUUAAAGGGGCUGUAUUUUCUUUUCAAUAUUACCUUCUAAUAAUCAUAUACCUAUUGAGGGAUUUGUUAUGAACAAAAGGUAGCGAUUUUUGUAAUGGACAAAUUCCAUCAAUAUCUACUGAUAAUAUGAAUUUAUUUUAGAGAAGAAAAAAUAUAUGUAAUAUAUAUGUAUCUCUUCAGAUAUACUUUCUAGGUAUGUACCAGAUUGUCAACAGUGACCUUGUCUGUGUUAUGGAACUGGAAGGGGCCUCUUCAGUUAUGAAAUGCCAUGGAAAAAGAAACCUGGUUCUUGUGGUAGUAUUCUGUAAACAUAAGAUAUUUACACAAAUUAUUUUGAUAGGUUUUUUAGAUAAGAAAAUUGUUCCGCAUAGAUUUUUUUUAAUGCAUUUGAAUUUUUAUUCUACAACACAAGCAACAUAAAUACAAUAUCUUUUAAAAUAUUUUCUCUUUAGAAUUUUCAUUUUCACCUCCGAUAAAAUGUACACAAAAUACACUUGCAAGCUUGCUUACAGGGACCUGAUAAACAAUGAACAGACAGAUUCUAUCAAAUCAAACAGUUUAUCAACAUAUAAAGGAGGGUAGUCUCAGUUGUGUGUGUGUGUGUGUGUGUGUGUGUGUGUGUGUGUGUGUAUGUGUCUUUUAAUAAAUAUGACCAAACUAAGAAGGCAAAAUAAAAACUGUACUUCUAGACAAGUCCUUUGGAGUAAACAAAAUGCUUCAAGGCUCCUGGUGAAUGGGAUUGCGAGGAUGAAUUCUGCAUUUUAUAGAUAAAAUGGUACACUGACUCAAAUCAUUAUGGCUGUACCAAGCUUCAUUUGUUUAUAAUUUUUAAUGAAAACAAGUCGAUUCUUUGGCAUAAUAUAAGAAGGGAUAAAAGAACCCUUACCACCCACUGGCUUUAUUUAGAGUGGGAAAUGAUAACAGGGGAACUGUUUAUAAUGUAAUUUAUUUUAUUUCUCUUAGAAAAGCAGGAAAAUAAUCUCGAAUAAUAGUCUUUUGGCAUGAUGAGGGCAAUAAAUGUCUUCUUCUUAGCCACCCCCACCCACCCGUUGAAAACAAAUUAACAAGCAAAAAUAACUGAAAGCAGCCUUUCCCUCUGGGCACCUGCUCCUGCCCCUAUCAUGCCAUACCUGGAUAUCCUAUCACAUGGCUUCAACUGAAGUGAAACCCACAAUAUCAAAAGCACUAAUCCUUGUCCAUUUUCGCCUAUUCAGCAGGGAACCGAUUUUUAUUACAGAGAACCACUUCCAACAAAAUACAGAUGGAAGAACUUCCAUGGGAGGAAUGCAAAGUAGCCUGCACAUGACCAGGAGGUAGCCCUGGAUGACUGUUGUGGCUGGUAAUGUCAGGGCUGGAGAUUCCCUAGCUUGAAGAGAAAACAUUUUGUGUGGUAGUUCAAAAGGUUGGCUUUUAGCUUCCCACCCCCCGCUCCCUUUUUUGGCACCAGUUGGUAAAAUAAGUUGGAACUAAAUUAUUCCUAGAGAUUAAUAUUUUAAAUUUAAUUUGAAAACCAAUGACUAUUAAAAGAACUAAAUGCACACAGAGUUUCCAAAACAGAUUAUGGAAAACAAACGUGAACUGAAACAAUUAUUUCCAUCCACAGAGGCAAGAACUUGACUCCUUAAUACCAUCAACCCUUUGAUAUGCUUUCUGAUCUCACUAACUCUCGUAAAUAUAGUCGUUUCUAUUCAUACAACAAUCUAAAGUAAUUUAAAUGAUGUCAGUGUAUUUAAGCAGAAGGCUUUAGAGAAUAUGAAAUCAAUAAGAAUGAUAUAACUAAUAUAAUUUAUACAUGGAUAAUUUUAAGGUACUUAAUUUUUCUCUCUUGAAUUAUUCCCUGAUUAUUCUUUUUUUGGUGGAAAAAAGAAUUUCCAAAGUGAACUAAUCAGACGAAGUGUUAAGAAACAUAGGCCCCACCUAUAUUUAAGUUAACAUAAUUUCACUGUAUUCCCAAAGCCUGCUGAUGCCCGUGAACAUUUCUCCCAUCACUGGAAGAUGAGAUAAUGAGUACGGUCUCCACUGUGCAGGUAUGAACACAAACACACUUACCAAAAAGUCCUUCAAACAGGCACAUGUACUGCUCAAAAGGGAGUUGUUCAGUUUGCAAAUUUCCAUGAAGCCACUUGGUAGACUCUUCACAGGUACAUAAGAAUUAAAAUAUUAAUUUACACCAGACAGUUAAGAUGAAGCUACGUCUAAUAGUGUAAUACCAUUUUGAAGUGUUGAUAUUUGGGUGACUAAUGAGAGAGAGAAACCUACUGGCAAGCAAGCAACUACUCAAAACUUCUGGAAGCCAGGAGCCAAAGUUGUGAUGGAGUUGAGAUGGAAACGUCUCAUUAAAACUGUAAUGACAGAAGAAACUCAAACACUACAUAUUGAAAUUUAAAAUCACCUCAGUACAAGUCAAAGGGUCAACAUGAUACAAAUGAUCAUCCAUAACCAGUGUUUCUAAAUACAAAGACGAGAAGCUUACACAGAAUUCACUGUUUCAUUGAACUUAUACAUUCAUUGUCUUCUAGCUUGUAAAAAAAAAAACCUAAUUGUUGGCAUAAUAAACCUAGAAACUGGGAAGAUUGAGUAGGAAUGCUGUAGAGAAUCCAAUCCCAAGGUGUCUGCCCAAGAUUCAGUUCGAUGUUUCUAUAGAGCUUGAUAAGUCAGGCUGAUCUCAUAGGCAGUAGUUGGAAAUUUUUUCAAGCCAGUUCUCAAAAUGUGGUCCCCAGACCAGCAGCACUGACCUCACCUGGGGACUUAUUAGAAAUGGAAAUUUCCAGACCUACUGAAUCUGAAACCGUGGGCAUGGGCCCAACGACCUGGGUUUUAACAAGCCCUCCAGGUGAUCCUGAUGUGUCCAAAGUUUGAGAACCACCUAAGAGCAAAGUCAAAAGAUAUUAGACAACAACCACUAAAAACUUUAGGAUAGGAACUAAUCAUACGCAGCAAUUCUUGGUGGUUGACAAGCUGGAAGGACCAUACCUGGGUGGGAUGCACCAGUAGCUGACUGUAAUUUUGUUACUAAGAUGGUCAGCCAGUCUCUCCUCCCUGGAACCCUCAUGCAUUAUUACACAAAGAUACAGGGGAAAGGUUUUAUAUGGUGCUAGUGGUAUUGUAUUGCAUUUUCCUCAAUUAGUAAGAGGUGCCAUUGUUAACAAGGAAAUUGAAUAUUGUUCUCAACUAGUUUCUCAUAAAUUAUCCCCCGGGAUAAUUUUUUUUUUUUUUGGUCUGUUUUCCCUGAAGCAAUGAUUGUAUUUUGGAAAUCUAAAUGGUGUUCUAGUCCAAAACUCUGUAUUAAAAUUUUAGUUACUUCCACAUCAAAUAUAAACAUUAUAAGCAGAGGAAGAGGAUCUCCUAAAAGGAGAGAGGCCAUUUUCUAGAUUGUUCCACUAUGAAUGAACAUAGUUUUUUUUUUUUUUUUGAUGAAGCAUAAUUAUGAGUUCUUUACUGAUUUCAUUAAAUCUUGCCCCAUAACAAGCUCCUUUUUCCAAUAAAAAGUGCUUAAAGAGAGUCUCUUGCUUUUUCUAAGGCCACACUAAAUGUCACCAGGAUCACCUAAGUGGUACCCAUGCAUAUCCAAGUUCUGUCACCCGCUUAAUGUCAUAUGUUGGAUUUUCCUUAUGUCUGUUUCCUUGUCUGCAGAGUAUGUAGAAAUAUUGAGGCAUAUGGCACAUGGUGGAAAUUGACCUGAUGCCCUCAGUACCUGGAUCUUUAAACAAUCUUGUCCUACCUGUCGCUUCCUUUUCAGAGAGUGCAGUGGAAAACUGGUUAGAACGGAUUCUGCAUAUUCUCAAACUUUGAUGAUGACUUUUACUGCCAUCUACUUCCCAGGGAAGCAAGUAGAGAGGCACUGUUGGCUACAGGGCACUUGAUUCUGAGUGAUUAAACGGCAAUUGAGAAAAGUUUACCAAUCGUGCAUGUUCUUCCGGACACAGACUGCCAUGCACACCUGCAGAACAGCUGGCCCCGAAUAGUAAUAUUCCAUCACUUCCGGCUAAUUUGGCAAGUUUUCUAAAUUACCACUGAGGGUCUGCUUUAAGACUAAAGUUCAGACCUUAUUUUAUUUUCAAACACCCCAAACCAUUAUAUUAUGUGUGAUCUUUCUAUGAACGAACACGUUUUUAAAACCCUAUUUGAAAAAAUCCUCCUAGGAUUGCAGAUAUGGGACAUCGAUUGAAUACUUUCAACUCAUUUUCACUGUUUAAUUCCUGGCAACACUCAUGUAUUCACUCUGUGUCCUUAGAGCAUUGUAUUGUAGACAGAGCAUGGCCUUUGAAUUCAGGAACACCUCUUUUGCAACCAACGUUGCCAUUUACUGGUGAUCUUGGGCAAAUAUCUUAACCUCUCUGGGUCUGUGUCCUCAUCUGAAAAAAAUGAGGAAAACAGAACCUGUUUGACAAGGUUAUCGUGAGAGCUAAAGGGUAAUGUAGGUUCAGGUCUCCGGUCACGGUGGCAUUCAACAAACGUCACCUCCUCCCUGUCGUCUGUAACCUCUUGCAAUUGUUACCGGCUCCAAACUAAGGUCUUCACUCUGCUUAGUCUGAUGGGGCGGACACAAAUGGAUUUUCUUUUCUGAGAAAGAAAACCUUCUUGCAGAAGCAGCCCUGUGAUGUAUUUGGGGAAAGUCAGGGAUCUCUGUCAUAUAAUUGCAUUACGUUCUUGCAGUGAAGGCUACUUGAUGGUCUCAACGGGCUCUGUAUAAACCUUGAAACAACAAGAACUAAAAGCCUGGUGACACUGUACCAAGAAGUUUCCAUUUAAAGGUGCUUUUGAAUUAUGUUAAUAUUCUGUCAUGUUUGAAAAUAAUUUAAUCUGAGCCAUUAUAUAGGUUAGCAUCUGCCUUGGUCAUUACAUAGCGUAAAGAUAGUAGAAAGUGCCCUAGUUGUAUAUUGAUGGAGGAGGCUAGAAAAUAAUCAUAAGGGGAGAGAUGGCAACAUGGUGUAAGGAAGCAGCCUAAACAUUUUUAGAAGCCAAUCAGGAGAGGCAAGAGCUAGGCGAGACACUGGCCCUCCAUCAAACCUAUGUCCUCAUGGCAAGGAGAAAUCUGAUGAUGCGUGUGGUCUACUUGGCUGCCAGGAAUUCCUAAACACUUUGAAAUUUUCUAGGUAUUUUCAUGAUGCACACUUUACCAAAAUAUUAGAAAAAGAGAGUACGUCUCAGUCGUAGGGUAACACACUUUGGGCAGUAAAUACAGGCAACUGAAAGUGACGUGCAAAAUCUUAUUCUGCUUAGAUCAGUAAAUACAUGGUCAUGACUGUUUUCGCCACAAAGGCUGUCUUGACCUUGGUCUUUCAGAGACCUUGGGAGAGAUGGAGUGAAGGAAGAGAGGGAGAGAGGCAGAAGCCCAGACACUGGAAGUGUGUGAGGGGCCAAACAGGGAAGGGACCACUCAUCUACCGAGGUCCCUAAUUAUUUCCCUUUCCUCUCCACUCCUGGAGAAGACAGACGUCAUUGUGACCUGAAGUCGACGGACGUCAUUGUGACCUGAAGUCCUAUUUGUUAGAGAUUAUUUGUCUCCGGCGAUGUCCUCUUGACAACAGCAAAUACCUCUGGGAAGUAUCAAGCUGUCUCCCUACCCCACACUUCCUGCCCCGUUCCCUGAGAAGUCUGCUCACUGGAUGGAGAACUGAGUCCUUUCCUCCGAAGGUGCGGAUACAAAAUGAGUUGCAUUUUAAUGUUUUGUUUCCUUAAAAGCCCAAGGUUCUGCCCUAUGUUCAGGUAACCGUGGAGCAUAGAAAUGUCUGUGCAACAAAAAACUAAGGCACCAUUUUUUCUUUCCCUUUCCUGUUUUGCCUUGGGAGCAAAAGCAAAGACUAAUGGGAAGCCAGGGUGGCUGGUCAGUCUGUCUCUUGGCAACAUCUGUGUCAGCCAAUCUGUGUGUCAAAGGCUGCCAGCCCGUAGACUUAAAACCCUGCCAGGAAAGCAUUUUUUCCUUUAGAAAUAGGGAAAUAAAGGCACAAACGUACCUUAGAAGAAGUUGGUGAAUACCAACUGGAAAAUCUUGACAGUUUGGGACGACUUUGAAAUGUUCUGGGAUAUUUUACAGAGGAAGCCAUCCCUUUCUUGAUUAUGACCCCCAAGAAGGUUUUUCCAGCUGCUAAUAAGCCCAUAAUCAUAAUAGAAAAUCUUCCUCCAGUGAAUGUCUUUACUAGAUGCCUGAGUGCUUACACAUCAGCUUGACUUACCAGCAGAUAUUUCCUUAACAUUUCCAUUAAAAAAAAAAAAAUCAUAGGUCAAUGUAGUGUUUUCAAAGGGGUAGUCCUGGAAAGGGA